AUUGAACGCUGGCGGCAGGCCUAACACAUGCAAGUCGAGCGAGCGGCGGACGGGUGAGUAAUGUCUGGGAAACUGCCUGAUGGAGGGGGAUAACUACUGGAAACGGUAGCUAAUACCGCAUACCAUCAGAUGUGCCCAGAUGGGAUUAGCUAGUAGGUGGGGUAACGGCUCACCUAGGCGACGAUCCCUAGCUGGUCUGAAAGGAUGACCAGGCUCACUGAAACGAGGACAAGGUGCAGAGUCCUACGGGAGGCAACAGUGGGGAAUAUUGGACAAUGGGCGAAGGCCUGAUGCAGCCAUGCCGCAGGUGUGAAGAAGGCCUUCGGGUUGUAAAGCACUUUCAGCGGUGAGGCGUUACCCGCAGAAGAAGCACCGGCUAACUCCGUGCCAGCAGCCGCGGUAAUAC
rnacentral:rRNA from 1 species